rnacentral:rRNA from 1 species
AGGACGAACGCUGGCGGCGUGCUUAACACAUGCAAGUCGAGCGGAAAGGCCCUUCGGGGUACUCGAGCGGCGAACGGGUGAGUAACACGUGAGCAACCUGCCCUUGGCUCUGGGAUAGCCUCCGGAAACGGGGAUUAAUACCGGACAUUCACUUUCUCCUGCAUGGGGGUUGGUGGAAAGUUUUUCGGCCAGGGAGGGGCUCGCGGCCUAUCAGCUUGUUGGCGGGGUAACGGCCCACCAAGGCGACGACGGGUAGCCGGCCUGAGAGGGCGAUCGGCCACACUGGGACUGAGACACGGCCCAGACUCCUACGGGAGGCAGCAGUGGGGAAUAUUGCACAAUGGGCGCAAGCCUGAUGCAGCGACGCCGCGUGGGGGAUGAAGGCCUUCGGGUUGUAAACCCCUUUCACCAUGAGCGAAUUCAGACGGUACCUGGGAAGAAGCGCCGGCUAACUACGCGCCAGCAGCCGC